AUGGGGGCACCGCAUGUUCUUUCAAACGCGUAUGGCGCUUCGACUGCCUCGAAGAGAUCGGCAGCCCUCGCUGCCAUGGACCGCCGAGAGCUGUGGAACUAUGAACAUGUAGGGCCAAGCAGGGUACCUGGAGAGCAUGAAGGCGAUGUUUGUGUCGCCGGAAGGGAGGGGGAUCACUGUCGACGUGGUGAUGUGGAGGUCCUGCAUGAGCACACACACACACCAGGACAGAGUACCGGAGGUGCGCUUAGAAGGACCGACAGCAUACUGGGAAGGCGUUCCAGGUGA
rnacentral:rRNA from 1 species